rnacentral:rRNA from 1 species
GAUUUCUGGUGUGAUUGUCUCAGCCUAUUAACGGUUACGUUAAUGUGUGUUGAGAUUCGAUCUACCAUCGUUUGCCUUGUUCCGAUUGGAUUCAUUUCUAGCCGGAUCAAAACAAGGCAAUCUUUUACUUUGAAAAAAUUAGAGUGUUUAAAGCAGGCUUUUGCUAUGAAUACAUUAGCAUGGAAUAAUAAUUUAGGACUUUGGUUCUAUUUUGUUGGUUUCUAGAACGAAAGUAAUGAUUGAUAGGGAUAGUUGGGGGUGCUAGUAUUGCGUGGCCAGAGGUGAAAUUCUUGGAUUCACGCAAGACUAACUUAUGCGAAAGCAUU